AGUCGCCGCGGGAAUACGGAGGGCGCGAGCGUUACCCGGAUUUACUGGGCGUAAAGGGCGUGUAGGCGGCCUGGGGCGUCCCAUGUGAAAGGCCACGGCUCAACCGUGGAGGAGCGUGGGAUACGCUCAGGCUAGAGGGUGGGAGAGGGUGGUGGAAUUCCCGGAGUAGCGGUGAAAUGCGCAGAUACCGGGAGGAACGCCGAUGGCGAAGGCAGCCACCUGGUCCACUUCUGACGCUGGGGCGCGAAAGCGUGGGGAGCAAACCGGAUUAGAUACCCCUGUAGUCCCUGUCUCUUAUACA
rnacentral:rRNA from 1 species